GGAUGUCUUGGCAUCAGAAGAAAAGGCGUGGAAGACUGCGAAAAGCCUGGGGGAGUUGUCAAACGAACGUUGAUCCCGGGAUUCCUGUUCAACCCAGGGAACUGAAACAUCUAAGUACCUGGAGGAGAAGAAAGAAAAAUCGAUUCCGUCAGUAGCGGCGAGCGAACGCGGAAUAGCCCAAACCUUGAGGAUUUUCCUCAGGGGGUUGUAGGGCCUUUCAUAUGAGAGUUACAAAGCCACCGAUUAGCCGAUAUGACAUGGAAAGGUCAACCAUAGAGGGUGACAGUCCCG
rnacentral:rRNA from 1 species